ACGGAGGGUGCGAGCGUUAAUCGGAAUAACUGGGCGUAAAGGGCACGCAGGCGGUGCGUUAAGUCAGAUGUGAAAUCCCCGGGCUCAACCCGGGAACAGCAUUUGAAACUGACGCGCUGGAGUCUCGUAGAGGGGGGUGGAAUUCCAGGUGUAGCGGUGAAAUGCGUAGAGAUCUGGAGGAAUACCGGUGGCGAAGGCGGCCCCCUGGACGAAGACUGACGCUGAGGUGCGAAAGCGUGGGGAGCAAACAGG
rnacentral:rRNA from 1 species